rnacentral:pre_miRNA from 1 species
UGCAGAAGCAGACAUGGCGUGAUAUUGGGUCGGUUCAUCGAUCAAUCCGAGUCAUAAUUAUGAGACGAGCCGAACCAAUAUCACUCUUGUAUGCUUCUUU